CCUUAUCCUGCUUAUUACUUACAGGUUUCUAAGAUCAAUUAGUUACACUAGCAUGGGAAAGAAAAAAAAUCCCUGUGCUUUCUGUGUCUUUGCGGUGGCCUAGAUUGAAUAGUGGAAAAUGUCU
rnacentral:snoRNA from 1 species